rnacentral:rRNA from 1 species
UACGUAGGGGGCAAGCGUUGUCCGGAAUUAUUGGGCGUAAAGGGCGCGUAGGCGGCGCAACAAGUCACUUGUGAAAUCUCCGGGCUUAACCCGGAGCAGCCAAGUGAUACUGUCGUGCUAGAGUGCGGAAGGGGCUACUGGAAUUCUCGGUGUAGCGGUGAAAUGCGUAGAUAUCGAGAGGAACACCUGCGGCGAAGGCGGGUAGCUGGGCCGACACUGACGCUGAGGCGCGAAAGCCAGGGGAGCGAACGGG